rnacentral:rRNA from 1 species
UCUAGAUACCCUAUCACUAUGAGAUGCCCAAUCUCAUCUGAUCUUGGAAGCUAUGCAGGAUCAGAACUGGUUAGUACUAGAAUGGGAGACUACCUGGGAAUACCAGGUGUUCUAGGC